GCAUCGGUGGUUCAGUGGUAGAAUCCUCGCCUGCCACGCGGGGCGGCCCAGGUUCGAUUCCCGGCCGAUGCA
rnacentral:tRNA from 1 species